GAUAAGAUGGCUGAGGUGCAGGCGGUAGAUUGUAAAUCUAUAAACAAGUUAAAAACUUUCUUAUUA
rnacentral:tRNA from 1 species